AAAAAAUCCAAGGGGUCUGAAUACUUUUGCAAGGCACACACUGUAUGUGUCUCAAAUGGCCAAAGUGUGCCUGUCACAAUCAUGUCUCGGGGGGCACGUACCCUAGAUAUGAUCUGUACUAUUACCAGACAUACUUCUAAAGCAAAUGUUGGAAGAAUCUCUACGAUGGAUUUUCACACAUACUCAAGUGAACCCCACUGUCCUCCCCUCCCCAGGUGCCCCCCCUCUGUGGACCCCCCUAGCGUGACCCCCUGUGGCUGGUUCAGAAGGAAUCCCCUCCACCCUGCACCGAGGACCAGUUACGACCUGCGGGAGCGCAUCUGCAUCGGCAGUAUGACGACCAUGGAAACAGCUGUGUACCAGAAGGUGCCCACUGACGACGCUGAGGCUGAGAUGCUGGCUAGCGCUGAUCUGGACGACAUGAAAAGUCACCGAUUCGAGGACAACCCUGGAGUGAGGCGUCACCUGGUGAAGAAGUCAUCUCGAUGCCAGCUCCUCCAGACCACCAACAGCUCUUCGCAACUGUCCAGCGUGAAGAAGAAGAGGACGGCUGACAAGAAGACCCAUGAGGUGUUUGUGGAACUCAAUGAGCUGAUAGUGGAUAAGAACCAGGAAAUGCGCUGGAAGGAGACGGCCCGUUGGAUCAAGUUUGAGGAGGACGUGGAGGAGGAGACAGACCGCUGGGGAAAACCCCACGUGGCUUCGCUUUCCUUCCGUAGCCUGCUGGAGCUCCGCAGGACCAUCACACAUGGUGCCGUCCUUUUGGACCUGGAGCAGACCACCUUGCCUGGUAUUGCUCACCUGGUGGUGGAGACCAUGAUCAUCUCAGACCAGAUCAGAGCGGAGGACCGUGCCAACGUGCUCCGCGCCCUGCUGCUCAAACACCACCACCCCAACGACGAAAAGGAGGGCCUCUUCCAUCGCAACCACUCUAGUAACAGCCUUCAAGGCAGCUUCUACCACAACCACGUUCCCAACACUGCGCUGCCCCUUGUGGCCGAUGACCAUGCAGUAGUCCACCACCACCACCUUGACAACAAAGCACCAGACCAUGACAAAGAGGUAUCCUCAACUGUGUGUCAUUCCUCAGGGUGUGUGGAGUUCUUGGAGCAGCCGGCCAUGGCCUUCAUCAGGCUGAGUGAGGCAGUGCUGCUGGAGUCGGUCCUGGAGGUGCCGGUGCCGGUCCGUUUCCUCUUUGCCCUGCUCGGCCCCGCUCAGUCCAACAUGGACUAUCACGAGAUCGGACGCUCCUUCUCCACCCUGAUGUCUGACAAGAACUUCCACGAGGUGGCUUACUUCGCGGACGACCGGCAGGACCUGCUGAACGGCAUCAAUGAGUUCCUGGACUGCAGCAUCGUUAUCCCCCCGUCGGACGUGGAGGGCAAGGACCUGCUAAAGACGGUAGCCUCCUUCCAGAAGCAGAUGCUGCGCAAGAGGAAGGAGAGAGAGAACAUUAAGAAGGGCCUGACCCAUGAGGACCAGGAGGUGGACCCCAUGAAGCGGUCGGGCAUCCCCUUCGGAGGCCUCAUCCAUGACAUCAGGCGACGCUACCCACGCUACGCCAGUGACAUCAAGGACGCCUUGGACUCACAGUGCAUUGCAGCCGUCAUCUUCAUCUACUUCGCAGCCCUCUCGCCCACCAUCACCUUCGGAGGACUGCUGGGAGAGAAAACAGAGGGCAUGAUGGGAGUGUCUGAGCUUAUCAUCUCCACGGCGACCCUGGGGGUGCUGUUCUCGCUGUUGGCCGGACAGCCCCUGCUCAUCAUCGGAUUCUCAGGACCGCUGCUGGUGUUUGAGGAGGCCUUCUACAAGUUCUGCCAGGCCCAGGGCUUUGAGUACCUGACUGGCCGGGUGUGGAUCGGCUUCUGGCUCGUCUUCAUAGUGCUGUUGAUAGUAGCGGCUGAGGGCAGCUUCUUGGUCAAAUACAUCUCACCCUUCACCCAGGAGAUCUUCGCCUUCCUCAUCUCGCUCAUCUUCAUCUAUGAGACCUUCUCGAAGCUCAUCAAGGUAUUCCAGGAGCAUCCUUUGAUGAGAAGCUACCCGCCUGCUCUCAGCCUGCCCGGUAUGGACUUCAUCAACCCCACAGACCCCGGGGGCCCGGUCCUAAACCAACCCAACACAGCCUUGCUGUCUCUCGUCCUUAUGCUUGGCACCUUCUUUGUGGCCUUCUUCCUCAGGAAAUUGCGCAAUAGUCGCUUCCUGGGCGGGAAGGCCAGAAGAAUCAUCGGAGACUUUGGCAUCCCCAUCUCCAUCCUCUUCUCUGUACUGUUGAGUUACUCCAUCCCCGACACUUACACCCAGAAGCUAAAUGUACCAUCUGGUUUCUCGGUCACGUCUCCUGACAAGCGGGGCUGGUUGAUCAGUCCAUUCGGUGACAAGAAGCCCUUUCCCUUGUGGAUGAUGGGGGCUUCGGUGGUGCCCGCCCUCCUUGUCUUCAUCCUCAUCUUCAUGGAGACACAGAUCACCUCACUAAUCGUCAGCAAGAAGGAGCGUCGCCUGGUCAAGGGAUCGGGCUUCCACCUGGACCUGCUGCUCAUUGUCACACUGGGCGCCAUGUGCCCUCUGUUAGGCCUGCCCUGGCUCACAGCCGCCACUGUGCGCUCUGUCACGCAUGUCAACGCCCUUACUGUCAUGAGCAAGGCCACGGCACCUGGCGAGAAGCCUAUGAUCCAGGAGGUGAAGGAGCAGCGGGUGACUGGCCUGGUAGUUGCCGUGCUCGUGGGUAUGUCUAUCGUGAUGACGGACGUGCUCCGUAACAUCCCAUUGGCCGUGCUGUUCGGGAUCUUCCUCUACAUGGGCGUCACGUCGAUCACCGGCAUCCAGCUCUACGAGCGCAUCACACUCAUGUUCACGCCCGCCAAGCACCACCCCGACCACAUAUACGUGACCAAGGUGAAGACAUGGCGUAUGAAUAUGUUCACCAUCAUCCAGCUGGCCUGCAUCGUGCUACUGUGGGUGGUCAAGUCGACCGUGGCCUCACUCGCCUUCCCCUUCAUCCUCAUCCUGACCGUGCCGCUCCGCCGCCUCAUCCUCUCCCGGAUCUUUGAGGAGCGUGAGCUUCAGGCGGACUCCCCCAACUUUGACGAGGAUGGUCGGGACGAGUAUAAUGAGAUUCACAUGCUUGUGUAG
rnacentral:lncRNA from 1 species